UGCUGCACUGUAUUAAAUAUAAACAUACGCACCUUGGAAGUUGUUGGAGUGCAUGCGGUUACAACAGUUAAGGCUUUCCUUGCAAUGAAUCCUUGUUCAUACUUUGAAACGGCACCCUCUUCUGGCCCAAGCCUGAAGUUCAUCCCGCUGAGGCCCCGCCCAAAAGAUUCAUUCGUCCUUUUAAAUCCUUUUAAAAAAUGCAGACGGAGGAAUUUGAGAUUCUCUUCCCGCAGUUUCUUUUGGCAGAGUCCCAAUGGAAUUCUUCCGCUCCGUCCUGGAAUGCAAACGGUACCGUCCCGUUGGUUGAUUCCAAGUGUCUCACGUCAUCUCCACCAACCGGUGAAAGGUGUGUGACCUUCAUCGUACCUGUCUGAGCAGUUCUUCAUCACCUCCUGGAGGGCGGAGCCGUUUGUUAGCGGGAUGACGCAAACGCCACCACAAACGACGUGGGCGUGGCAGAAAUGACCUUUUGGUAUGUGCCUCGCCAGGAAAGGCCUAGAACACAUCCAUAUCCAGAAACACAGCAUGGUCGUGAUGCUGUCAUACACUUCCUGACUGGAACGCAGUACUUGAGUUUACUGUACUGCUGUCAGCCAGACGUCACUGUCAUUCCCCUCCUCCGUGUUUGGGAAUGCAUGAAUGUCACCAGCUGCCGCAUCUGCUCCAGUGUGGAAAACGUCCAAAAAAGCUUAAUUAUCAAGCUUAAUCAUCCGUGAGAUUGAAGCAAGGGAGGACCCCCGCCGGAGCAGCCCGGCGAUGUAAACACACAUUCGCACAUCCCCAAGAGGAUGUCCUGCGAGUGUGUUUGUUGGUGCGUUC